rnacentral:rRNA from 1 species
UACGUAGGGGGCAAGCGUUGUCCGGAUUUAUUGGGCGUAAAGAGCGUGUAGGCGGCCAGGUAGGUCUGCUGUGAAAACUCGAGGCUCAACCUCGAGAUGUCGGCGGAAACCAUCUGGCUAGAGUCCGGAAGAGGAGAGUGGAAUUCCUGGUGUAGAGGUGAAAUUCGUAGAUAUUCGCAAGAACACCAGUGGCGAAGGCGGCUCACUGGCCCGAUACUGACGCUGAGGCACGAAAGCGUGGGGAGCAAACAGGG